AGGAGAAGAAGAAAGAAGAUCAAUAUGAAGCAAAAGAUAGUGGUGAAAGUGCAGAUGAAGUGCCAGAGUUGCAGAACCAAAGCCCUUCAGAUUGCUGCUUCUUUAGAAGGUGUGGAUGAGGUGAGGAUGGAAGGGAAGGAGAAAGAUGAAGUGGUUUUGAUUGGGGAAGGAAUGGACCCAAUUC